rnacentral:lncRNA from 1 species
UUGGGUACACAUGAAUUUUGCAGCAUCGUUGUAUGUCCAGGUUUUUGACAGUAAGUGUAGAACAUAUUCCUUUUGUCAUUUUCUCUCAGUUCAUUAUAAUUAUUUCCUACUCCAGUAUUUAUAUCAAAAUUCAUUCUACUUUGUCUUGCAUAAUCACAAAACUUUUGUGCAGAAACAUUGAAUGAACUGGACUCCAUAGGUGACAUG